GACGAACGCUGGCGGCGUGCUUAACACAUGCAAGUCGAACGGAAAGGCCCUGCUUUUGUGGGGUGCUCGAGUGGCGAACGGGUGAGUAACACGUGAGUAACCUGCCCUUGACUUUGGGAUAACUUCAGGAAACUGGGGCUAAUACCGGAUAGGAGCUCCUGCUGCAUGGUGGGGGUUGGAAAGUUUCGGCGGUUGGGGAUGGACUCGCGGCUUAUCAGCCUGUUGGUGGGGUAGUGGCUUACCAAGGCUUUGACGGGUAGCCGGCCUGAGAGGGCGACCGGCCACAUUGGGACUGAGAUACGGCCCAGACUCCUACGGGAGGCAGCAGUGGGGAAUAUUGCACAAUGGGCGGAAGCCUGAUGCAGCAACGCCGCGUGCGGGAUGACGGCCUUCGGGUUGUAAACCGCUUUCGCCUGUGACGAAGCGUGAGUGACGGUAAUGGGUAAAGAAGCACCGGCUAACUACGUG
rnacentral:rRNA from 1 species